AGCCAGACUCCUACGGGAGGCAGCAGUGGGGAAUAUUGCACAAUGGGGGAAACCCUGAUGCAGCGACGCCGCGUGAGUGAAGAAGUAUUUCGGUAUGUAAAGCUCUAUCAGCAGGGAAGAAAAUGACGGUACCUGACUAAGAAGCCCCGGCUAACUACGUGCCAGCAGCCGCGGUAAUACGUAGGGGGCAAGCGUUAUCCGGAUUUACUGGGUGUAAAGGGAGCGUAGACGGCAUGGCAAGUCAGAUGUGAAAGCCCGGGGCUCAACCCCGGGACUGCAUUUGAAACUGUCAGGCUGGAGUGCAGGAGAGGUAAGUGGAAUUCCUAGUGUAGCGGUGAAAUGCGUAGAUAUUAGGAGGAACACCAGUGGCGAAGGCGGCUUACUGGACUGUAACUGACGUUGAGGCUCGAAAGCGUGGGGAGCAAACAGGAUUAGAUACCCGAGUAGU
rnacentral:rRNA from 1 species